rnacentral:snRNA from 1 species
AAGACUGUAUUUUCAGGGAUCAUUUCUAUGGUUUGUUACUAGAGAAGUUUCUCUGAACACGUAGAGCACCCAAA